GGAUGUGAGAGCAGUUUAGCUGUGACAUCUGUCACUCCACUGAUCACCAAGGUUGAUUCAGCUAAUUUGGUGGGCUAAGUGGGUGUCCCCUUCUGACCUCACUAUCCAUAUACUUCCCUUCCAAAGCUGUGUGCUGUUUUUCCCAGAAUAGAGAGUGACUAUUCUUCCACUGAGGGUAGCUGCUCUCUUCUACUAGAAUCUCCAAAAUAAGCUCUCAAGGAUAGUCAAUGCUGCUGUAAUUUUGAAUUUUAUAAUGUUAAAAGUAGAAAAGUUAGCUCAAGGAG
rnacentral:snRNA from 1 species